rnacentral:tRNA from 1 species
GCCGGCGUAGCUCAGUUGGUAGAGCAACUGAUUUGUAAUCAGUAGGUCGCCAGUUCGAGCCUGGCCGUCGGCU